ensembl:lncRNA
CCAGAGCUGUGUCAGGACGUCCCAUACAGUUCUAAGUCUGAUGUCUGGGCACUGGGAUGCUUGUUGUAUGAGAUCUGUUCUGUCAGACCGCCGUUCUGCUCUAUAAGAUCAUCAGAGGAGAGUACAGCCCUGUUCCCCAGACCUACUCAGACAGCAUCACCUCUCUGGUCCCUCUCUGGUCUUCCUGCCAUCCAGGACCUCUAUAUCAGGUGGUGUCAGAAGAGUAGAGAAGAUAUAGUUAACUCACCAGCUAAACAACUAACCAACUAACCAACCAACCAAGUGCAUCGAUUUAACUCUUGUUCUUUCUUUACUUUUCAAGCACCGUCCACAGUUCCACUGCUUCCACGAGGGAACCAACCAAAACCCCUUCAGAUUUCUGCUUACUUCACUUCAAGGGACCGACAGACCGAGAAAAACAGAGCGAAAGAGAGUAAUAGACAGAGAUCACAGUAUGAAAAGAAUGAAGUCAGCUGUUGUUGUCAUUGUGAUUCUCAACAUGCUGCAUCGCUGUCUGAGCAACAACUUACGCACAGAGAUCCUGAAAGACUUGAGCAACCUCACUCCGGAGAACUUCACUUACCCAAAGCGAUACCGAGUACCAACAUUACAAAUGCAGGAGAAAGCAUGUGAGUGCCAGGGGAUGUUUGCCACUGAGCUGAAGCAUGUGGUCAACAAGGUGAAGGCCCGGACCGAGGAACACAAACCACUUCUGAACAGACUACAAAAGAACAUCCAGGCUCUGCCUCAGAUCUCUACCCCUGAGGAGGCCAGUAUCUGCCCCAUGAAGAAUAAGCUGCUGCUAACCCGUCCACCGAAGACUAUUGUUCUAAUAGCUUACAGACGUUUCCUCCAGAACCUGAACGAAAAGGAAUGUAAGUGAGAUACUACCGUAGAGAUAAUUCGAUUAUCUCUAUAUUUUAUAGAAUGAUCUUUUCGGGUAAUAUGGCCCAUAAAUAUGCUGCAUCUCUCUUCGGGUAAUAUGGCCCAUAAAUAUGCUGCAUCUCUCUUCGGGUAAUAUGGCCCAUAAAUAUGCUGCAUCUCUCUUUGUGUAAUAUGGCCCAUAAAUAGGCUGCAUCUCUCUUCGUGUAAUAUGGCCCAUAAAUAUGCUGCAUCUCUCUUUGUGUAAUAUGGCCCAUAAAUAGGCUGCAUCUCUCUUUGUGUAAUAUGGCCCAUAAAUAGGCUGCAUCUCUCUUCGUGUAAUAUGGCCCAUAAAUAUGCUGCAUCUCUCUUUGUGUAAUAUGGCCCAUAAAUAGGCUGCAUCUCUCUUUGUGUAAUAUGGCCCAUAAAUAGGCUGCAUCUCUCUUCGUGUAAUAUGGCCCAUAAAUAUGCUGCAUCUCUCUUUGUGACAGAAGUAAUGAUUUAUUUAUAGACCAUUCUCAGGUUUAGGUUGUUCAUGUAUUUUUUGAUGUACUAUACUUAUUGAUUGGAUCACUCUGUUUUUAUUGAAAUAUAUUCAAAUUUGAGUUAUGUAUUUAAACAAACAUUUAUUUGUUAAAUUAUUACUUUUGAAUUAUGUCUUAAAGAUAACAGUCAGUGUUCUUCCCAUGGCUGUUUGUAGUCAGACUAAAAACGUUUGCUUGAUAUACGGUACUAUGUACUUCCAUCAUGAAAAGCAUAAUUGUUCUCAAAUAAGAUCAUUUUAUAUUGAAAUACAAAAUGUUUCACAUGAAUGUACAAAUUUUAUACGUAUUGAUUAUGUAUUUAUUCUAUACUGGUUGAAUGUAAAUGAAUCCUACAUUUUAUACUGUAAAGAACUUACAUCAGUGAUGUGCGAU